rnacentral:rRNA from 1 species
GCGUCCCUACGGGGCGCAGCAGUGGGGAAUAUUGGGCAAUGGGCGCAAGCCUGACCCAGCAACGCCGCGUGAAGGAAGAAGGCUUUCGGGUUGUAAACUUCUUUUCUCAGGGACGAAGCAAGUGGCGGUACCUGAGGAAUAAGCCACGGCUAACUACGUGCCAGCAGCCGCGGUAAUACGUAGGUGGCAAGCGUUAUCCGGAUUUACUGGGUGUAAAGGGCGUGUAGGCGGGGGCGCCAGGCAGAUGUGAAAAACACGGG